GCGUUUUCUGGGAUUUAUUGGGGGUAAAGCGUGCGCAGGUGGUUUUUUAAGUUUGAUGUGAAAGCCCACGGUUCAACCGUGGAGGGUCAUUGGAAACUGGGAGACUUGAGUGCAGAAGAGGAAAGUGGAAUUUCAUGUGUAGCGGUGAAAUGCGUAGAGAUAUGGAGGAACACCAGUGGCGAAGGCGACUUUUUGGUCUGUAACUGACACUGAGGCGCGAAAGCGUGGGGAGCAAACAGGAUUAGAUACCCUGGUAGUCCACGCCG
rnacentral:rRNA from 1 species